rnacentral:tRNA from 1 species
GGCCCGGUAGCUCAGUCGGUAGAGCAGAGGACUGAAAAUCCUUGUGUCGGCGGUUCAAUUCCGUCUUGGGCCACCA